rnacentral:rRNA from 1 species
AGAGUUGAUCCUGGCUUAGGAUGAACGCUAGCUACAGGCUUAACACAUGCAAGUCGAGGGGCAGCAUGAUCUAGCUUGCUAGAAUGAUGGCGACCGGCGCACGGGUGAGUAACGCGUAUCCAACCUUCCCUAUAGUAGAGGAUAGCCCGGCGAAAGUCGGAUUAAUACUCUAUGUUGUUCAAUGCGGACAUCUAAGUUGAACCAAAGGUUUACCGCUAUAGGAUGGGGAUGCGUCUGAUUAGAUGGUAGGCGGGGUAACGGCCCACCUAGUCGACGAUCAGUAGGGGUUCUGAGAGGAAGGUCCCCCACAUUGGAACUGAGACACGGUCCAAACUCCUACGGGAGGCAGCAGUGAGGAAUAUUGGUCAAUGGGCGAGAGCCUGAACCAGCCAAGUAGCGUGCCAGGAUGACGGCCCUAUGGGUUGUAAACUGCUUUUAUAUAGGGAUAAAGUGCACUACGUGUAGUGUUUUGUAGGUACUAUAUGAAUAAGGACCGGCUAAUUCCGUGCCAGCCGCCGC